UGGCCUCAGUAGAAUCUAUCAGUUAGAUCUCUUCUUCAAGAAACAGGCAAAUAGCCUGAGGAACCCUAGGUCCAUCCAGGCUUUCAGGGAUCAUAGGGCCUCUUGCAGAACACGUUUGGUAGUAACCAGACCAGUAAACCCCUCUUGAUAUAUUAGAUGAUAAUUAUCUAAAUAGGCCUCCUCCCAAUAAACCCAAGUUACUGGAGGAAACACAGGCCAUCCUUAGCAAUGGGGACACUGACUCUCUCUCUCUCUCUCUCUCUCAACUGUUCCUCCUAAUAGACUCAGGUUACUCUAGCGGAGUGUGGGAGGCAGGUCCCUCAUUCAUUUCUUGUGUUAAUGGCUACAAUUGGAACCAACUGUCUCUGGUUAGUCUACCUCAGGAUGGGGACUUGAAGAAAUAUUCCCAAGCAGCUGCUGAAACUCCCUUUGUUUCUGGGAAAUUCCCUGUCUUCUCCGGCCCGACAUGGACUGCCUUGUUGGUGGGAAAAAAACAAGGCGUUUGCUCAUCUGUCCAAGUGGAUGAGCUCUAGAACCCGGAACCCUCUUUAGUCUGCCUUCUGGCAGCACCUCACCUCUUCUGCCUCUCCCUCUUCCUGUUUCUGCGCCACUUUGGGGGCGGCCUCCAUAACUGGCUUUUAGACCAUCCUCCAUUGGCUCCUCCUCCCACCCUCACUAUUAAGGAGAGAAGAAGAGCACCCCCUGGACCUCACACCACCCACUCCGGAUUUCCCCACAGUGUCUCAGGACACCACUGGAAACAUUGGUUAUUUUACCAAGGCUUUGAUUGGAAUGUCCUAUUUGAGAGACAUGCAUAGACUCAGAUAUGACCGUACAGCUUUAAGAAACUAAGGUUGACUUUAUGAGGCAUGGCGCAAAUAGAGCCCCUUGGAAAUGUUGGCCUGAUUCCUGCUUACAGAGUUCCCAGCAGCCUCACCAGUGUCUCCCUUCCUGGUGCCAAGACUCCUUCACUGUCGUAACUUCCAGCUGACAGAUGAUCCUUUCUACUUAAGGAGGUUCAUAUAUGUUGUUGACCUUGGAUUGGCUGCCGCUGCCAUUGGUAACACCUAUAGAUAAACUCCCCAACUGACCAGUGUUGACCCAUAAGUAAGGACAUCGCUAUACCCCUCUUCAGCAGGAAGAAGUUACCGAAGAUAAGACCUUCCACCCUCAACAACCUUAAAGAUUUAAGGGUAAAAAUUGUUCAGGGGGUAUGAUGUGGGAAACAAAGGCAGAAGGAAAUGUAGAUAAAAUUAAAUGUCCUUAUAACCUGCAGCCCAUUGACAAA